GGGUCGGUGGCAGAGUCCGGCUAAUUGCACCUGACUGUAAAUCAGGCGGGGAAACCCACGGUGGUUCAAAUCCAUCCCGGCCCA
rnacentral:tRNA from 1 species